GCCUGGGUGGCUCAGUCGGUUAAGCGGCUGACUUCAGCUCAGGUCAUGAUCUCGCGGUCUGUGAGUUCGAGCCCCACGUCAGGCU
rnacentral:tRNA from 1 species